rnacentral:rRNA from 1 species
UACGAAGGGGGCUAGCGUUGUUCGGAAUCACUGGGCGUAAAGGGCGCGUAGGCGGCUUUAUAAGUCGGGGGUGAAAGCCUGUGGCUCAACCACAGAAUUGCCUUCGAUACUGUAGAGCUUGAGACCGGAAGAGGUAAGUGGAACUGCGAGUGUAGAGGUGAAAUGCGUAGAUAUCAGGAGGAACACCUGCGGUGUAGACGGCUUACUGGACGGUAACUGACGCUGAGGCACGAAAGCGUGGGUAGCAAACAGG